rnacentral:rRNA from 1 species
AUUGAACGCUGGCGGCAGGCUUAACACAUGCAAGUCGAGCGGGGUGAUGGUGCUUGCACUAUCACUUAGCGGCGGACGGGUGAGUAAUGCUUAGGAAUCUGCCUAUUAGUGGGGGACAACAUCUCGAAAGGGAUGCUAAUACCGCAUACGUCCUACGGGAGAAAGCAGGGGAUCACUUGUGACCUUGCGCUAAUAGAUGAGCCUAAGUCGGAUUAGCUAGUUGGUGGGGUAAAGGCCUACCAAGGCGAUGAUCUGUAGCGGGUCUGAGAGGAGGAGCCGCCACACUGGGACUGAGACACGGCCCAGACUCCUACGGGAGGCAGCAGUGGGGAAUAUUGGACAAUGGGGGGAACCCUGAUCCAGCCAUGCCGCGUGUGUGAAGAAGGCCUUAUGGUUGUAAAGCACUUUAAGCGAGGAGGAGGCUCUUUUGGUUAAUACCCAAGAUGAGUGGACGUUACUCGCAGAAUAAGCACCGGCUAACUCUGUGCCAGCCGCCGCCGUAA